ACGAGCAGGGAGUAUGCACUCUUCGUGACCCGUUUCCCUCGCGAUCUUUCCGAGCACAGUCCGCGAAACGAUCGCCCGACUAGAAUUUGCCCCUUUUCCCGCCGGAACACCUGUGAUUUAACUCUCGCUACGUUUCCCGCGUCCCAUUUCUGUUUUCCCUCCAUUUUUCCAUAUUUUUUAAUUGGUAAUAAUAUACCAGGCUAGAGACAUUUCGCUGAACAAACGAGACACUUGGAUACGGUGUGAAUGACGACAUUUGAAAACAAUAUUUAAGGAGUUUUAAGCAACUUUAGAAUCGAGAAAAUAAUUCCGCUUUAAUUGAUACCGUAAGAAAUAGAAUGCAAUGGAAACUUUUGUGCGCUAAUAAUGCUGAUCGCGACGCUCCCACGUGAAAUCCUAAGAAAUCGCUCUACGAUCUGGUCUGUUAACGAGGAAUCCAGACGAUAGAAGAACGUUGGAACACAUGCGGCGCAUCGAUUAACGCCGAUCUUCUGGAUUUCUUCACCUGUGAAUCCUCAGGCGAUCCUUGACAUUAAUCUUGACAACGCAGUGUAAUUUUUAUUCUAAUGGCCUAGUUUUUCUUGUGCAUCUACGAUUGAUCGGAUUCCUUGUGCGAUAAAGAUAGGGAUUCGUGACUUUCCUGGUAUCGUUUUUCUUAUCCAGAUAGUUCCUUAGGCGACAGACUUGCGAAAGAUAUUGAGAAAUAGUGCAAGUUUUAUGAAACGUUUCAUAACAUCGUUUAUUUUGUUUCCAAUCUCGCAAGUUUCU